CCCACACUCCAUCUUCUUCACUUUUCACUCACUCUUUAAAUCCCCAACACCAUUUUCUCUCUUCCCCUCUCUAUAACCACGAAAAUUUUUCAAAAAAUGAAGCCAAAAACACACCUUAAACUUUAAAUCUUCAUCAUCUAGGGUUGAUCUUCAAGGAAUCGAUAGUGGUACAAGUGGAUCGUAGUUGAAGGCACCAUUUGCAUCAUCUCAAUGCAUAUUGAAUCAUCGAGUAAGUGGCACUAAGGGAAACUUCACUGUUAGGAGCAUUCGCAUGUGUUGUAUUCAAAUUUUCAUUGUAAUUUCUUUUAAAAGUUUUUCAAACCCAUUGUAAAUUCGUAAUGAUUUUUAAUACUAUGGUUGGUGUUGUCUUUUAA